GACGAACGCUGGCGGCGUGCCUAAUACAUGCAAGUUGAGCGAUGAAGCUUGGUGCUUGCACCAAUUUGAAGAGCAGCGAACGGGUGAGUAACGCGUGGGGAAUCUGCCUUUGAGCGGGGGACAACAUUUGGAAACGAAUGCUAAUACCGCAUAACAACUUUAAACAUAAGUUUUAAGUUUGAAAGAUGCAAUUGCAUCACUCAAAGAUGAUCCCGCGUUGUAUUAGCUAGUUGGUGAGGUAAAGGCUCACCAAGGCGAUGAUACAUAGCCGACCUGAGAGGGUGAUCGGCCACAUUGGGACUGAGACACGGCCCAAACUCCUACGGGAGGCAGCAGUAGGGAAUCUUCGGCAAUGGACGAAAGUCUGACCGAGCAACGCCGCGUGAGUGAAGAAGGUUUUCGGACCGUAAACUCUGUUGGUAGAGAAGAACGUUGGUGAGAGUGGAAAGCUCAUCAAGUGACGGUAACGACCCAGAAAGGGACGGCUAACUACGU
rnacentral:rRNA from 1 species